rnacentral:rRNA from 1 species
UUCCGGUUGAUCCUGCCGGAGGUUACUGCUAUCGAGGUUCGACUAAGCCAUGCGAGUCGAAUGUAGCAAUACAUGGCGAACUGCUCAGUAACACGUGGACAACCUGCCCUUAGGACGGGGAUAAACCCGGGAAACUGGGUAUAAUACCCGAUAGGUCUCGAUUGCUGGAAUGCAUCGAGAUUUAAAGCUCCGGCGCCUAAGGAUGGGUCUGCGGCCUAUCAGGUAGUAGUGGGUGUAGCGUACCUACUAGCCUACGACGGGUACGGGUUGUGAGAGCAAGAGCCCGGAGAUGGAUUCUGAGACACGAAUCCAGGCCCUACGGGGUGCAGCAGGCGCGAAAACUUUACAAUGCUGGCAACAGCGAUAAGGGAACCUCGAGUGCCAGGUUACAAAUCUGGCUGUCGAGAUGCCUAAAAAGCAUUUCAUAGCAAGGGCCGGGCAAGACCGGUGCCAGCCGCCGCGGUAACACCGGCGGCUCGAGUGGUAACCGUUAUUAUUGGGUCUAAAGGGUC